rnacentral:lncRNA from 1 species
UUUUUGGGCUGAUUCCUUAAGAUAGAAAAAGGCUGAAAACACAAUAAGAACAGAAAAUAGAUUAGAUAAUGAUUCAGCACAAGUAGAAAUAAAGAAAGAAUUGACAGUAAGAAAUUAAAAGAUAAGUCCUAAAAAGCCUUGAAAUCUCGAAAGAUCUCACAACUCCCUUCAAACGGCUCUAAUCUCCCCUCCAAAGAAUAUCAAUGGCAAGAAGAAGGUUGAAGAUGGCUCCCACAAUCACAAGAUUGUUAAAACAACUUCUAAAGAAAACUCAAGAGAAAAAUCUUGGAGAAAACUCAAAGAAAAUUCUACUCUCAACAAAUCUGAAAUUUUAAUAAUAAUGAUAAGUGUUUAACAAGGUGGACAGCCAUGCCUUUAAAUAGGCCUUAUAACUAGUCCUAAUCUAAUUAGAAAACUAAAAUAAAAAAAACUCCUAAUUAUUUUAAUAUGGAAAUUCGGUCAAAGGUCAUUUUAUCUGGGACUCUUGGACUGAAUAUUGACAUAAAAAUUUAAACUAAGUAAAUAAAUAAAUAAAUAAAUAAAAAUAAAAAUAAAACUUUACAACUUGGGCCACUUUGACAAUUUGGCCUGAUUUUCAACUAAGUAUGGAUGGAUUUCUUGAUUGGGCUGGGAAUUUGCUUAUUGGGCCUCGCCUUCAAGAAUUUGGGCUUUUGUGACUUGUAUCAUUCCCCCCUUCCUCAAAAAGAUUCGUCCUCGAAUCUGAAAAAUCAAAUGAACUCGACUUUCCUCUAUCGAACGGGACUAAUGGCAAUUGAGUCCACUGAAAAGAAUAGCCAUGAGAUAGUAAAUAGCAACGGAAACAAGCUUGUAGUCCAAUCAUAAGCAUAACAGAACAGGUAUAACGUAUGUGAAUGGACAGAUUCAGAUUACCAUGCAAACAAUCUAAUUUACUCACAACUGCCUCGUCAAAUAUUUGAAACAAAGAUGGACAUGUUUUAAGGCAUUCAGUCGUCUCACAUUGUUCCCACAAACCAUGAAUAAAUUGCGAGUAAUAAAUCAAAUGGUAAACAUAAUCGUCACAAGUAGGUAUUUGAAAAGAUUCACAUGGUUCACAGAGUUGCAUAAUCAUACCAUGCAUUAAUCGACGGUCUAUAGAUUCACUCACACAUGCAUUAUCAAAAACAAGAAUCUUUUUAUCAACCAUCAAAACAGAUAGAUCAUCAAUAAAUAAAAUAGGACAGUCAAGCACGUUUCGAUCUAAGUGUUCAUCAACACAAUCUUUAUCACUAUCCGAGGAGUACAAAAGUGUUUCAAAGGUUUCAAGCAUCUUACCUCGAUAAGCAGAAGAAUAAGGGUCGAUUUUACCUUUUUCAUUUAAAACAAACCUUCGCUCAUCGGGGGCAUAAUGUAGUCGAAUCUCCGUUGUUGAGUUAACCUUUGUCAAAUGGAACUCAAACUUCAUGUACAACCACAUAAACUGUUUAAGGCACGAAUAUAAAUUGAAAACAAAUUUGGAAAAUUUCGUUACCUUAUUCUCCAAAACAGAUUUGGACAAAUUCGAGGAUUUUACACAAGGUAAAUCAAGAGAAUAACAAAUCACGCUUCUUUUCGUAAUGACUUUAUCAACCACAAUCGAAGAGUAACAAUUAAUCGGAUCAAAAUGAGGGGAUCUUUUAAGAACUAAGUCACCAAAAUUUUUAUCAAUAAUUUUCAAAUCUGCACUGGACUCGGUUUCUAAAAUUUCCUUACCUCGCUUACCUUCGGGAUCAUGUAGUGUGAUUUCAUCUUUGCCUAAGUUGAUCGUAUGAAAGCGUCUUUCAUUUGAGAGGUAUUGAAGUUGAAAGUUAUCUUUCGAUCUUUCGGGAACCUGAAAAGUAGCAACACAAGAAAAAUUCAUAUCUUGGUUAGUGGAAACAUUCCUCACUACCCUUUCCACGUCUUUUUCCUUUGUUUCUUUUUCUAAUUCAUUUUCUCUUCUUUCUUCAAUUUCUUUUUCACUCUCAAUCUCUUUUUGCUCUUUUUCAUUCUCUUUUUCUUUUUCCUCACUUGUUUUAACAGAAUUUUUCAGUUUGAUUUGGUCCUCAUGGACUUGUUCCGGAGUGAGCGGCACUAAGGUGAGUUUCUUUCCUUGAUGCUUGAAAGAAUACCUAUUGGUACGACCAUCGUGAGUGACUUUUCGAUCCAGUUGCCAUGGUUCUCCUAGCAACAAAUGGCAGGCUUGAAUAGGCAUUACGUCGCACACAACUUCGUCUUGAUACUUACCGAUAGAAAAGGCGAUGCGCACUUGUUGAGUGACCCUAAAUUGGCCUUUAUUGCUAAGCCCUUGUAGUUGAUAAGGUUGUGGAUGCUUGGUAGUGGUUAAGCAAAGCCUUUCCACCAUCGUCGUGCUGGCUAUGUUCGAGCAACUUUCACCAUCAAUAAUAACUCUACAAAGCUUACCUUGUACAUGGCAGCGAGUAUGAAAGAGAUGUUCUCGUUGCUGGUCGCUCUUUGGUUUUGCCAAAGAUGAUUGUCCACGAUCAUGAAAAUCAUCAUCCAUUCUAGGGACACGUUGAGGGCUGCACCUAUAGGGCUGGUUAUCCCUAUCUUCCUUAAUUGGAUCUCGAUAUUGAUGUUUUUGAUUCACUCAUACCUCAUUCAAAGUAGUAUCCAAUGCUUGAAGUGUAGCAUUUAUUUGUGUGAUUGCAGUAGUAUGUUCGUCUAACUGUUGUUGGACUUUCAUAAGUGCAUCAUUAUUAUCACCUUUAGACAUCUUCAAAACCUGUAAAAAAUAAACACUCAACACUCAAAAAUAAAAGUUAGCAAACCUCACCAUUAAUCACUCAAAAAGAAAAAUCAAAUUCUCAAUGAGGUCGAAUUCAAUCUUGUGAGUUCUUUAUCAGAGUUUAUAUCAACCAAUUAGAGAGUGUGAACCAAACUACCAAAGAAUCCUAAUUUGCACUAGGAUGCCAAAAACUGACGAGACACCAAUUGAUUCGUGUUGCACCGAGGAAGAAGUUGUGCACACGUUUAAAUCCUACUAACACAAAAAACAAGAAGGUGUUAGAUAACGUAAAGGAAGAAUAAAGGUAAACAAAUGAAAACCUACAGCUAAGAAUCAAUAAAAAUUGCUGAAAACAGAAAACCCGAAAAACUGCGGAGUAACUUGACAACUUCGUUCGAGGUGUUCCCGAUCUCCAAAAAUCACGAAAUUAAAUCUGGAGUGUCCUUAUAUAUUGAAUUUUUGAUCUGGAAAUUUUGGGCACCAAAUUCAACCCGCUGAAUCUUUUUUUAAAUUUUUAUUGAAUUUCGUAUUUUUUGAUUUUUUUGACUUUUUUGACUGAUUUUUUUGUGGGAAUAAUUUUUUUAUAUUCAAUCACAGUGCCAAAAACAUGUAUGUAAAAUUUCAGAUCAAUCGGACAACGUUUACCCACUCAAAUGAAUUUUUUUUGAACAAUUUUUCUGGGUAAAACUGCUGUUUAUGCUUUAAAAAAUAGAGAUCAGUUUAGAAAUCAACCAAGAACACCCAAAACGCCCAAAAUAUGAUACCAAAUGAUACGGGGUUGCGCGCGGACCAAGAUCGAGUUGCCAAGUCACGAGAAACUCCUACGAAAACCCUAAACAAUUAGAUCUGAAAUGAAACAGAAAAUUAAAAGAUUAGAUUUUUGAAUUUUCAGAUCUGAAAUAAAAUCCCCAAAUCAGCAAAGAAUCAAAUUGAGAAUAGAAAUAAGUGUUAGGGUUCUUGAAACCCUCAAGGAGAUUGUGAUUCUGCCCAAUUGAACACCAAGAUAGUUUUCCCCAAAUUUCGACAAUCUAAUUUCACCCAAAAAGAGUAUGGAAAAACCCUAGAAAUUGGGGAUUUUUGGGCUGAUUCCUUAAGAUAGAAAAAGGCUGAAAACACAAUAAGAACAGAAAAUAGAUUAGAUAAUGAUUCAGCACAAGUAGAAAUAAAGAAAGAAUUGACAGUAAGAAAUUAAAAGAUAAGUCCUAAGAAGCCUUGAAAUCUCGAAAGAUCUCACAACUCCCUUCAAACGGCUCUAAUCUCCCCUCCAAAGAAUAUCAAUGGCAAGAAGAAGGUUGAAGAUGGCUCCCACAAUCACAAGAUUGUUAAAACAACUUCUAAAGAAAACUCAAGAGAAAAAUCUUGGAGAAAACUCAAAGAAAAUUCUGCUCUCAACAAAUCUGAAAUUUUAAUAAUAAUGAUAAGUGUUUAACAAGGUGGACAGCCAUGCCUUUAAAUAGGCCUUAUAACUAGUCCUAAUCUAAUUAGAAAACUAAAAUAAAAAAAAACUCCUAAUUAUUUUAAUAUGAAAAUUCGGUCAAAGGUCAUUUUAUCUGGG